AGAGUUUUAUCCUGGCUCAGGAUGAACGCUAGCGACAGGCUUAACACAUGCAAGUCGAGGGGCAGCAGGGGAGUAGCAAUACUCCCGCUGGCGACCGGCGCACGGGUGAGUAACACGUAUGCAACCUGCCCUUGUCAGGGGGAUAAGCGGAAGAAAUUCCGUCUAAUACCGCAUAACGCUGCGGGGAGACAUCUCCCUGCAGCCAAAGAUUUAUCGGACAAGGAUGGGCAUGCGGCGCAUUAGCUUGUUGGCGGGGUAACGGCCCACCAAGGCGACGAUGCGUAGGGGUUCUGAGAGGAAGGUCCCCCACACUGGUACUGAGACACGGACCAGACUCCUACGGGAGGCAGCAGUGAGGAAUAUUGGUCAAUGGCCGGGAGGCUGAACCAGCCAAGUCGCGUGAGGGAAGACGGUCCUAUGGAUUGUAAACCUCUUUUGUCAGGGAGCAAAAACUGCCACGCGUGGCAGGAUGAGAGUACCUGAAGAAAAAGCAUCGGCUAACUCCGUGCCAGCAGCCGCGGUAAUACGGAGGAUGCGAGCGUUAUCCGGAUUUAUUGGGUUUAAAGGGUCCGUAGGCGGACAGUUAAGUCAGCGGUAAAAUUGAGAGGCUCAACCUCUUCCCGCCGUUGAAACUGAUUGUCUUGAGUGGGCGAGAAGUAUGCGGAAUGCGUGGUGUAGCGGUGAAAUGCAUAGAUAUCACGCAGAACUCCGAUUGCGAAGGCAGCAUACCGGCGCCCAACUGUCGCUGAAGCACGAAAGCGUGGGUAUCGAACAGGAUUAGAUACCCUGGUAGUCCACGCAGUAAACGAUGAAUACUAAUUGUUCGGGUCGAGUGAGAUCUGAGUGAUACAGCGAAAGCGUUAAGUAUUCCACCUGGGGAGUACGCCGGCAACGGUGAAACUCAAAGGAAUUGACGGGGGCCCGCACAAGCGGAGGAACAUGUGGUUUAAUUCGAUGAUACGCGAGGAACCUUACCCGGGCUCAAACGACACAGGAAUGAUCUGAGAAAUCAGGCAGUCCUUCGGGACCUGUGUCGAGGUGCUGCAUGGUUGUCGUCAGCUCGUGCCGUGAGAUGUCGGCUUAAGUGCCAUAACGAGCGCAACCCCCAUCGACAGUUGCCAGCAGGUCAAGCUGGGCACUCUGUCGAGACUGCCGGCGCAAGCUGUGAGGAAGGCGGGGAUGACGUCAAAUCAGCACGGCCCUUACGUCCGGGGCGACACACGUGUUACAAUGGCAGGUACAGCGGGAAGCCACCUGGCGACAGGGAGCGGAACCCGAAAGCCUGUCUCAGUUCGGAUUGGAGUCUGCAACUCGACUCCAUGAAGCUGGAUUCGCUAGUAAUCGCGCAUCAGCCACGGCGCGGUGAAUACGUUCCCGGGCCUUGCACACACCGCCCGUCA
rnacentral:rRNA from 1 species